GCAACGAGCGCAACCCCUGCCGCCAGUUGCCAGCAUUGAGUUGGGGACUCUGGCGGGACUGCCUCUGCAAGGAGGAGGAAGGCGGGGAUGACGUCAAAUCAUCAUGCCCCUUAUGACCUGGGCUACACACGUGCUACAAUGGACGGAUCAGAGGGAAGCGAACCCGCGAGGGGGAGCGGAACCCAUAAACCCGUUCUCAGUUCGGACUGCAGCCUGCAACCCGGCUGCACGAAGCUGGAAUCGCUAGUAAUCGCGGAUCAGCAUGCCGCGGUGAAUACGUUCCCGGGCCUUGUACACACCGCCCGUCACACCAUGAGAGUCAGCAACGCCCGAAGCCGGCGGCCCAACCAGGAAUGGAAGGAGCUGUCUAAGGCGGGGCCGAUGAUUGGGGUGAAGUUAGUGACAAGGUAACCGUA
rnacentral:rRNA from 1 species